UAGUAACUGCGAGUGAAGCGGGAAAAGCUCAAAUUUAAAAUCUGGCGGUCUUUGGCCGUCCGAGUUGUAGUCUGGAGAAGUGCUUUCCGCGCUGGACCGUGUACAAGUCUCCUGGAACGGAGCGUCAUAGAGGGUGAGAAUCCUGUCUUUGACACGGACUACCAGUGCUUUGUGUUGCGCUCUCAAAGAGUCGAGUUGUUUGGGAAUGCAGCUCAAAAUGGGUGGUGAAUUCCAUCUAAAGCUAAAUAUUGGCGAGAGACCGAUAGCGAACAAGUACCGUGAGGGAAAGAUGAAAAGCACUUUGGAAAGAGAGUUAAACAGUACGUGAAAUUGCUGAAAGGGAAACGCUUGAAGUCAGUCGUGUCGGCCGGAACUCAGCCUUGCUUUUGCUUGGUGUACUUUCCGGUUGACGGGCCAGCAUCGAUUUUGACUGCCGGAAAAAGGCAAGGGAAAUGUGGCACCUUCGGGUGUGUUAUAGCCCCUUGUUGCAUACGGCGGUUGGGAUCGAGGAUCGCAGCACACCUUUAUGGUCGGGGUUCGCCCACGUUUGUGCUUAGGAUGCUGGCGUAAUGGCUUUAAACGACCCGUCUUGAAACACGGACCAAGGAGUCUAACAUGCCUGCGAGUGUUUGGGUGGAAAACCCGAGCGCGUAAUGAAAGUGAAGACUGGGACUCCUGUCGUGGGAGGCACCAGUGCCCGGACCUGACGUUCUCUGACGGCUCCGCGGUAGAGCAUGUAUGUUGGGACCCGAAAGAUGGUGAACUAUGCCUGAAUAGGGUGAAGCCAGAGGAAACUCUGGUGGAGGCUCGUAGCGAUUCUGACGUGCAAAUCGAUCGUCAAAUUUGGGUAUAGGG
rnacentral:rRNA from 1 species